rnacentral:rRNA from 2 species
UAGGGAAUCUUCCACAAUGGACGCAAGUCUGAUGGAGCAACGCCGCGUGAGUGAAGAAGGUUUUCGGAUCGUAAAGCUCUGUUGUUGGUGAAGAAGGAUAGAGGCAGUAACUGGUCUUUAUUUGACGGUAAUCAACCAGAAAGUCACGGCUAACUACGUGCCAGCAGCCGCGGUAAUACGUAGGUGGCAAGCGUUGUCCGGAUUUAUUGGGCGUAAAGCGAGCGCAGGCGGAAUGAUAAGUCUGAUGUGAAAGCCCACGGCUCAACCGUGGAACUGCAUCGGAAACUGUCAUUCUUGAGUGCAGAAGAGGAGAGGGGAAUUCCAUGUGUAGCGGUGGAAUGCGUAGAUAUAUGGAAGAACACCAGUGGCGAAGGCGGCUCUCUGGUCUGCAACUGACGCUGAGGCUCGAAAGCAUGGGUAGCGAACAGG